CGAGAAUUAUUUGCGCGCCUGCGCGGUGAGGCACUUGACGCACCCUGCCACGACUACACCAGGGAGUCGAGAGGUAACCUGCAGCCGGAGUCAGGAGCAAAGCUUCCUUGGUGGGACGUACUCCAGGAGGGAACGGGGCGGUCGAGUUCCAACCAAGCCCUGCCCUUCGGGGCGCCUGUUUCUCCCUCUCUGGGCUUGUUUUCCUCCCCCGUCACCUACACUUCACCCAAUCUUGGAACGGAGCCCCGGCAGACCCGGAGGUGGUGGUGGGAGGCCGGACCUAUCAGUGACAGAGCUGCCAAGCAAGCCCCAGGAUGCUGACUCCACCCGCCUCCCACUCCUCUUCUCCGCGCGGGUGCUGUCCGUCGUCCGGUGCUGAAAAUGUCCUCCCGCCUCAGCCGCCAUCCUGUAGACUCCCGGGGGCCUGCGUAUGGGAAGAUUUGGGGUCUCGAACCACACGCUCCUAGCGAGCGCGUGGCCGCACGCACACAUACACGCAUACUGCAAAACUGGGGCCCAGAGGAUCCGAAGUCUGAGAGAUUGGGUGGUAUAGGUGGGGCAGGAUCCUGCCCCGGGCCUGUCCCAUAGACUCUCCCGUAGUCCAGCAGAUUUGGGGGCAGAGGUGUGCUGAUUUGCGUCCUGAAGCUGCAGCCUAAACUCCUGAGUCAUCGCCGGGCCUGUGGUCUUCUUGAAGUGAGGCCCCUAAGCCUCACUUGUAGUCCCGGGGGUUCCUUUCUCUCCACCCAGGUUCUGAUCACUCCCAACCCCGCGGAGACAGUCUUCAGGGGCCUCCCUCUCACAGACCUUCAGCCACCGCUUUCUAGAGAGCAUGAGCAGGUUCUCUGCGACCUCUCUAAUUAGCUACCAGGUAUCCAGUUACACCAGAUGACCUUCCUGCUCCCCAAACUCAGCCCACGUGGUCUGAUUGCAGUGCCAUUGCCCAGAGGUCCCCUCCACCUGGGAUGCCCUUCCCCCUCAUAUCCACUUGUCCAUAAGCCUAGUUAUCUUUAAGAGUUAGUUCAUCUCGUGCCUCUCAGAGGGACAAAGGGGACAGAGACCUGACCCGGUCAGGGGUGGAGGUCAUAGGUUGGGUUCUAGGCCCCCUCUGGGUGCACCCAAUUUGCCCUGCAUGUAAGUUCCAUGAGGACAGGCCCUGUUGUCAUUCUCCACUUCCACCCUUGUCUUCCCAGUGCCAAGCACAAUACUUGCAUAUGGAAGACACCCAAUAAACAUCUGUGUCCAAGA
rnacentral:lncRNA from 10 species